rnacentral:rRNA from 1 species
GACGAACGCUGGCGGCGUGCUUAACACAUGCAAGUCGAGCGAUGAAGUUCCUUCGGGAAUGGAUUAGCGGCGGACGGGUGAGUAACACGUGGGUAACCUGCCUCAUAGAGGGGAAUAGCCUUCCGAAAGGAAGAUUAAUACCGCAUAAGAUUGUAGUUCCGCAUGGAACAGCAAUUAAAGGAGUAAUCCGCUAUGAGAUGGACCCGCGUCGCAUUAGCUAGUUGGUGAGGUAACGGCUCACCAAGGCGACGAUGCGUAGCCGACCUGAGAGGGGGAUCGGCCACAUUUGGACUUAGACACGGCCCAGACUCCUACGGGAGGCAGCAGUGGGGAAUAUUGCACAAUGGGGGAAACCCUGAUGCAGCAACGCCGCGUGAGUUAUGACGGUCUUCGGAUUGUAAAACUCUGUCUUCAGGGACGAUAAUGACGGUACCUGAGGAGGAAGCCACGGCUAACUACGUGCCAGCAGCCGCGGUAA